rnacentral:rRNA from 1 species
UACAGAGGGGGCAAGCGUUGUUCGGAAUUACUGGGCGUAAAGGGCGCGUAGGCGGCCUGUUAAGUCGAACGUGAAAUCCCCGGGCUCAACCCGGGAACUGCGUCCGAUACUGGCAGGCUUGAAUUCGGGAGAGGGAUGUGGAAUUCCUGGUGUAGGAGUGAAAUCCGUAGAUAUUAGGAGGAACACCGGUGGCGAAGGCGGCUGCCUGGACCGAUACUGACGCUGAGACGCGAAAGCGUGGGGAGCAAACAGG